rnacentral:pre_miRNA from 1 species
AGUGUGAUUGCUGGAUCAUAUGGUAAGAAUAUGGUUAGUUUUAUAAGAAAUUGCCAAACUGUCUUCCAAAGUGGCUGUACCAUUUUGCAUUCCCAUCUGCAAU